rnacentral:lncRNA from 1 species
UCGGGUGGAAGUGGCCCGAUUUUCCAGGUAAAGACCUUCACAAUCGGGAACCCGUAGAUUGGAUCUUCUGAAAACAUCAGAGAAAGACUAUCUUUGCCAUCCACACUACAGUAAAACUUUGGAGCCUUGAACCUUGGAUUUAUAAUCUCACAACUGAGAAGGGUCCCUCCAUACUCCUGGAACUGUACACCCAUUGGAACUCUUAAGGUAAAACUAACCAGGAAAGUUUCUCCCCAGAAAAAGAUGGCAUCCUUGAUGUGAACAGCUUUUCCCAAGAUCACAGGUCAAAACUUCUACUAUCAUGAGACUCUUACCUUUGAAUAUUUUUACCUUGUUUAUGCCUCUAUGAGCAACAGAAAUGAAAAGUGGGUCUAUAAUGUGCACUUAUAGGGUAUAAUUUUAUUUGUGAAGGAUUUUGCGGGAAGCCAGCCUUAUACAUAAAUAAACUUAUACUUUAAUAGAUAAAAGAUGAAGGCCCAAGGUGGGUGAGAAACUUUAGUGGUACAUAUGUUGACUCAUAAUCAGUCAAAACUCCUCUUAACCCACAUCAUGGAUUAAAGAGAACAUUGCCAGGAGGCCUUCACUCUUCUAGAAGGACAUAAUUUGUUAGGUCCUUUUUCCAUGGUUUAGAAUACAAGAGGCAAUAAUUAGAAAUGUCUCCCUCUUAAUAGGCAUGGGUUCAAAUAAGGCAAACGUGGAGCUGUAGCCAAUCUCGCUGUUUGUGUACCUCACUUCUGAUUCCUGUGUGUCACUUUAACAUUUUUGUCUAUACAUUUUUUCUGACCAGGAGACACCCCUGGAGUCUGUGAAUCUGCUGUGAUUCUGGGGGCUGCCCGAAUCAUGAAUCAUUCAUUGCUCAAUUAAACUCCUUUAAGUUUAAUUUGGCUGAAGUUUUUCUUUUAUCACACCCUUGCCCCAUGAGCCAGGGAAAGGGCAACUGAGGCCGCAGUAUUUUCAGUGGCACCAAGGUACAC